rnacentral:tRNA from 1 species
GGUGUGUAGUUCAGUUGGUAGAGUGCUUGCCAAGUGUGCUGGAAGCCCUGGGUUCAUUCCUAGCUCCACAUCA